CAAGGCAGCCCUUUUCUGUGUGCUCAAGGAUGAAGCCAGUAAAAGGAAGGAGAAAAAGAAGAAUCAUUAAAAAAAGGCCAAGCCUCAUGCCACAUCUUCAUAGUCCUGCAAACCAUUGAACAGGAAAUGAGCCAAGUCAGAAAGCCUGGAUUUAACCUGUCACAGCACAAGGAAGGCUGCAUUUAUGUCCUCCAUUUGAUUAGGAUUUGGAAUUUAGGAGGAAAGACCCAUUUGUACUCUUCUUCGGAGCCUGUGGUACUGAGAAUUGGACACUGAAG